GGCAACGUGGUGAAACGGUCAUCCCUCUUUGGUCUUCUAGGUGACAAAGCAAGAGGUUCUUGGUUCGAAUCCAAGCCUGCCU
rnacentral:tRNA from 1 species